GCGGAAGUGGCGGAAUUGGCAGACGCGCUGGGUUCAGGGUCCAGUGAGGGCAACCUCAUGGGGGUUCAAAUCCCCCCUUCCGCACCA
rnacentral:tRNA from 1 species